GUGGGGAAUAUUGCACAAUGGGGGAAACCCUGAUGCAGCGACGCCGCGUGAAGGAAGAAGUAUUUCGGUAUGUAAACUUCUAUCAGCAGGGAAGAAAAUGACGGUACCUGACUAAGAAGCCCCGGCUAACUACGUGCCAGCAGCCGCGGUAAUACGUAGGGGGCAAGCGUUAUCCGGAUUUACUGGGUGUAAAGGGAGUGUAGACGGCUUUGCAAGUCAGAUGUGAAAGCCCGGGGCUCAACCCCGGGACUGCAUUUGAAACUGCAGAUGCUAGAGUGUCGGAGAGGUAAGCGGAAUUCCUAGUGUAGCGGUGAAAUGCGUAGAUAUUAGGAGGAACACCAGUGGCGAAGGCGGCUUACUGGACGAUGACUGACGUUGAGGCUCGAAAGCGUGGGGAGCAAACAGGAUUAGAUACCCUGGUAGUCC
rnacentral:rRNA from 1 species